rnacentral:rRNA from 1 species
GUAGGCGGCAAGCGUUGUCCGGAAUUAUUGGGCGUAAAGCGCGCGCAGGCGGCUCUUUAAGUCUGAUGUGAAAGCCCACGGCUCAACCGUGGAGGGUCAUUGGAAACUGGAGAACUUGAGUACAGAAGAGGGAAAGCGGGAAUUCCACGUGUAGCGGUGAAAUGCGUAGAGAUGUGGAGGAACACCGGUGGCGAAGGCGGCUUUCUGGUCUGUAACUGACGCUGAGGCGCGAAAGCGUGGGGAGCAAACAGGAUUAGAUACCCUGGUAGUCCACGCCGUAAACGAUGAGUGCUAAGUGUUAGGGGGUUUCCGCCCCUUAGUGCUGCAGCUAACGCAUUAAGCACUCCGCCUGGGGAGUACGGCCGCAAAGGCUGA